UGCAUUCCUAUUUACAUCUAAUUAAUUUUUUGUAUGAUAUCAAAUCUAAAAUUGAUAUUUUAUAAUUAAUAUAAGAUAUAUUUAAGAUCUGAUAUGAUAUAUGUGAUGCAUCAAAUCUAAUUAGAUUAGAUGAAGAACAUGAUUGAUAAGAUCAAAGACAUGUUCAUGAUAUAAAUUAUUUUAUCAAAAUUGCAUAUUGAUGUACUUAUAUAUGAAAUUAUAUUUUAGAUCUUAGUAGCCUAGUACUCAGAUUGAUGAGAUCAUCAAACCAUCCGAUCAUAAGAGAUCGAAGAGAUUAAUUUCUCUUUUGCCUAUUCAAUGGGUUCUCUUAUAACGUAUAGGGGUGUCAUUGUGAUCCGAUUUCAUGAAAAAGAAAGUAAAUAAAUUUUUAUGUAUUAUUUUGAUCAUAAAUAUAUUUAGAUUAGAUUUAAAAUAAUUUAUGAUUCAUUAUAAUAAGAUAAAAUUUAGGUAUAAAAUUAUUUUAAAUCUGAAUAGUAUGUUAUAUAAGAUGUAAUUGGUAUUGAUCUAAAAGUUAUCAUGAUGCAUGAGAUGUAUGUAUGAAGUUUAGAUC
rnacentral:lncRNA from 1 species